rnacentral:rRNA from 1 species
UACGAAGGGGGCUAGCGUUGUUCGGAAUUACUGGGCGUAAAGCGCACGUAGGCGGAUUGUUAAGUUAGGGGUGAAAUCCCGGGGCUCAACCCCGGAACUGCCUUUAAUACUGGCAAUCUCGAGUCCGAGAGAGGUGAGUUGAAUUCCGAGUGUAGAGGUGAAAUUCGUAGAUAUUCGGAGGAACACCAGUGGCGAAGGCGGCUCACUGGCUCGGUACUGACGCUGAGGUGCGAAAGCGUGGGGAGCAAACAGG